AGUGAACGCUGGCGGUAGGCCUAACACAUGCAAGUCGAACGGCAGCACAGUAAGAGCUUGCUCUUACGGGUGGCGAGUGGCGGACGGGUGAGGAAUACAUCGGAAUCUACUUUUUCGUGGGGGAUAACGUAGGGAAACUUACGCUAAUACCGCAUACGACCUACGGGUGAAAGCAGGGGAUCUUCGGACCUUGCGCGAUUGAAUGAGCCGAUGUCGGAUUAGCUAGUUGGCGGGGUAAAGGCCCACCAAGGCGACGAUCCGUAGCUGGUCUGAGGGGAUGAUCAGCCACACUGGAACUGAGACACGGUCCAGACUCCUACGGGAGGCAGCAGUGGGGAAUAUUGGACAAUGGGCGCAAGCCUGAUCCAGCCGUACCGCGUGGGUGAAGAAGGCCUUCGGGUUGUAAAGCCCUUUUGUUGGGAAAGAAGAGCAGCAGGUUAAUACCCCGCUGUUCUGACGGUACCCAAAGAAUAAGCACCGGCUAACUUCGUG
rnacentral:rRNA from 1 species